UCACUAACUCAUAUUACUAACUCCAAAGGAGUCAUGUGAAUAUAGAAUUGGAUGUUCCUUAACUUCUUUUGAUGAGUAUAUAAUGAAAUGUUUUUCUUUGGAAGUGUAUCAAGACGUGGAGGUGUCUGCUGUCUGUCUAGAUGCUAGACUAGAGUCACAUUCCAGCCUGAGUGGGCCUUCUUGAAGGUAGAUGCUCUAUCGGUUUCUUUUCACAUGGAAAACACAUGCAGAUACGAUAGAAGAAAGACUUUCUGCCUUUACAUUGUGAAUGAUUCCACAUGUUAUGGUUGUCUGAACAGAACCCAAGCCGGACACAAU